rnacentral:lncRNA from 1 species
UCUUACCACACUGCUCUCGAUACCCCUCUGCUGAUAGAGCUCAACAUGGCUGGCUCCACCCCUUUCCUUGAUGUUUAAGCAUAGACACUUAGCGCAAGAGGAGGAGGAAGAGGCAGAAGAAGCAGCAGCGUAACUCAGUUUGACAUCCCAAGGAGUGGCUCUUGUCUUAGGGACAGGAACCUCCUUCCCCUGCCAGCUUUUGAACUGCAGCUCCCAGCCAAAAGCCUCUGGCUUUGCAUCCUCGGGUCACCACCACUGAGGAGGAAGGCCUCACUCUUUCCAGGACAGACAGAGCGCAAGGGCCCAUGGCCCACUCGGACUGCUCGUUAACUCCCUCUGACUUGGGAGAGAAGAGGGCUGGCGCUGCCGAGACUGCGCCCACUGCAACCUUGCAGGGGGACACCUCCAGUGGUUCUCACCUGGGGUCAACCCCUGGCUUACUGCUGGUCUAGGGGGUGACUGCCUCCUAGGUACUCCUGGGACUUCUGGGCACAAACCCAGGUGCCCUUACAAAGAGACUUGCUGCUCACCUUGGGUCCAGGAAACACUGCUUCUGUAGUGAAAAGUACAUUUACUAUGUCAUCUCUCCCUCAAAAUGCCAGCUAAAUCCACUGCUGGCCCAGCUUGCUCCUGAACACUGAACUUUCUGUGCAGUGCCCGACAGCUGGGCACAUGCAGCCCAAGUGUCUGUGGCCAGAGGGAAGAAAACACCAUAAACGGAGCCUCUGUUCCUCACUGGAGUCUGACACAUAACCUCAGCCCAGCCUUAGGAUUUUGAGCCUGGAGGCCAGAGGAAGGAGCUGGAAGAAGAGGAGUCACAGACAGACCCAGUCCCCAGACUGGUUUCGGGUGAGAUCUCUGUUCAUCAGAAGAAGCUUAUUUCCUCAGGAGAGAAUUCCGGAAGGGGAACUGCUAUUCUUCAAGGCUGUGGACCCUGUUUGCUGAUGUCAACCUGCUGGCUCUGCUGCACAUGUGCUUGUGGAGAUGUGCAAAGGACAGGUGCCUUGCACCCCCCACUUCCAGGGACCUCUCAGCACAGGCCCUGCCUGUUCCCAUGGUGCUUCUCUGAACCCUUGUAGCCUCAGCCAGGGAGAGAGUGGAUGAGCAGUGAGCUGGUUUCCGGGCCUCUGGGGACAGAGGGGGCUUGGGCUUCCC